CACACCUUAAACGAUGAAUACUAGGUGUCGGGUCGCAAGACUCGGUGCCAAAGCUAACGCAUUAAGUAUUCCACCUGGGGAGUACNCAACGCGAAGAACCUUACCAGGGUUUGAAAAGCAAGAUUUCAGAGGAUGAAAGUCCUUUACCCGCAAGGGGUCUUGUACAGGUGC
rnacentral:rRNA from 1 species